rnacentral:rRNA from 1 species
AGUGAACGCUGGCGGUAGGCCUAACACAUGCAAGUCGAACGGCAGCACAGUAAGAGCUUGCUCUUACGGGUGGCGAGUGGCGGACGGGUGAGGAAUACAUCGGAAUCUACUUUUUCGUGGGGGAUAACGUAGGGAAACUUACGCUAAUACCGCAUACGACCUACGGGUGAAAGCAGGGGAUCUUCGGACCUUGCGCGAUUGAAUGAGCCGAUGUCGGAUUAGCUAGUUGGCGGGGUAAAGGCCCACCAAGGCGACGAUCCGUAGCUGGUCUGAGAGGAUGAGUAGCCAGAGUGGAACUGAGACACGGUCCAGACGACUACGGGAGGCAGCAGUGGGGAAUAGUGGAAAAUGGGCGCAAGCCUGAUCCAGCCAUAUCGCGUGGGUGAAGAAGGCCUUCGGGUUGUAAAGCCCUUUUGUUGGGAAAGAAAAGCAGCAGGUUAAUACCCCGCUGUUCUGACGGUACCCAAAGAAUAAGCACCGGCUAACUUCGUG